UGGGGAAUAUUGGACAAUGGGCGCAAGCCUGAUCCAGCAAUUCCGCGUGUGUGAAGAAGGCCUUCGGGUUGUAAAGCACUUUAAGUUGGGACGAAAAAAUCGGCGCGAAUAGCGCCGGUCUUGACGGUACCGACAGAAUAAGCACCGGCUAACUCUGUGCCAGCAGCCGCGGUAAUACAGAGGGUGCAAGCGUUAAUCGGAUUUACUGGGCGUAAAGCGUGCGUAGGCGGCUCGCUAAGUCGGUUGUGAAAUCCCUGGGCUUAACCUGGGAACUGCAGUCGAUACUGGCGGGCUAGAGUACGGUAGAGGGAGGCGGAACUCCGGGUGUAGCGGUGAAAUGCGUAGAUAUCCGGAAGAACACCGAUGGCGAAGGCAACCUCCUGGGCCUGUACUGACGCUGAGGUACGAAAGCGUGGGGAGCAAACAGGAUUAGAUACCCCCGUAGUCC
rnacentral:rRNA from 1 species